rnacentral:lncRNA from 1 species
UGAGAUUGAGAAUAGAGUUUUGACAAAAGUUCAGGUGGUAAUCUUUUCGAUAGGGAGAACAUACAGGAAGUUAAUUCAAGCUACUCAUCAGCUUGGGCACUUUCAAAUGAGUUAAUAUUCAGCUUCUGGUGUCAUUUGUUUAUGCUUGUUUAUUUCCCAUAUGCAAAACUUCCUAAAUUUCUGGUUUGUUGUGAUAAAAACUUCAACUUUAUGAUUUUCUUUUUAGAAUUUAAGUGUGCAUGCAUAGUUCCGGAGAAUUUUGGUAAAGGUUUAUUCUUUGCUAUUCAGCAGGUUUAAAGAAAUAUUCAUAUUCAUGUAGGGGUUUUAAUUGUGGAACAAAUUUUUCCAUAGCACCUAACUAUUAUUCAAACGUUCCAUGCAUUAUGUUUGUUAAAGGUUUAUUCUUUGCUAUUCAGCAGGUUUAAAGAAAUAUUCAUAUUCAUGUAGGGGUUUUAAUUGUGGAACAAAUUUUUCCAUAGCACCUAACUAUUAUUCAAACGUUCCAUGCAUUAUGUUUGUUAAACUGAUGACACUUACGUUCCUUUUUGGAUAUGCUAGGAUAGACCGGAGAAUUUCAAUUAUCUACUCCGGAAACUUCAACUACUUGGCGCCCUUAAAUCAAAGAAUGUUU